rnacentral:rRNA from 1 species
UGGGGAAUAUUGCACAAUGGGCGAAAGCCUGAUGCAGCAACGCCGCGUGAACGAUGAAGGUUUUCGGAUCGUAAAGCUCUGUCUUUGGGGAAGAUAAUGACGGUACCCAAGGAGGAAGCCACGGCUAACUACGUGCCAGCAGCCGCGGUAAUACGUAGGUGGCGAGCGUUAUCCGGAUUUACUGGGCGUAAAGGGAGCGUAGGCGGAUGAUUAAGUGGGAUGUGAAAUACCCGGGCUCAACUUGGGUGCUGCAUUCCAAACUGGUUAUCUAGAGUGCAGGAGAGGAGAGUGGAAUUCCUAGUGUAGCGGUGAAAUGCGUAGAGAUUAGGAAGAACACCAGUGGCGAAGGCGACUCUCUGGACUGUAACUGACGCUGAGGCUCGAAAGCGUGGGGAGCAAACAG